GAUGAACGCUAGCUACAGGCUUAACACAUGCAAGUCGAGGGGAAACGACAUCGAAAGCUUGCUUUUGAUGGGCGUCGACCGGCGCACGGGUGAGUAACGCGUAUCCAACCUGCCCACCACUUGGGGAUAACCUUGCGAAAGUAAGACUAAUACCCAAUGAUAUCUCUAGAAGACAUCUGAAAGAGAUUAAAGAUUUAUCGGUGAUGGAUGGGGAUGCGUCUGAUUAGCUUGUUGGCGGGGUAACGGCCCACCAAGGCAACGAUCAGUAGGGGUUCUGAGAGGAAGGUCCCCCACAUUGGAACUGAGACACGGUCCAAACUCCUACGGGAGGCAGCAGUGAGGAAUAGUGGUCAAUGGACGAGAGUCUGAACCAGCCAAGUAGCGUGCAGGAAGACGGCCCUAUGGGUUGUAAACUGCUUUUAUAAGGGAAUAAAGUGAGUCUCGUGAGACUUUUUGCAUGUACCUUAUGAAUAAGGACCGGCUAAUUCCGUG
rnacentral:rRNA from 1 species